rnacentral:tRNA from 1 species
GACUACGUAGCUCAGUUGGAAGAGCAUUGGGCUAGUAUUCCAAAGGUUGUAGGUUCGAAUCCCACCGUGGCCG